rnacentral:lncRNA from 1 species
AGUGACAGGUCAUGAAAGAUAAAGCUACAGACCCACUGGAGAUGUGGGCCAGCCGAAGUUUCAACCAGAUGUCACCAGAGUGGCCAGUCUCCCCCAGGCAAAGCAAAGCAAAGCGAUAGCUCCUGGACAACUCCUUUCGUGGUGGACUUCCUGAGGCCCUCUGCGCCGGCUCCUGGCUCUACAGAGCUUGUUCCUGGGGACCAGUUACUCCAGGCUUUGGAUCUCCCCACCUCAAUAGUUCGCAGGGAAGUUCUCCAUCAUUCCACUGGGGCCAGGCCUUGGGUUCCACUCCAGAAGCCCCGAAGCACCCUUCCUCCUGUCCAGAGUCCUCUCUCCUACCUACUUGGGCUUAGGCUCAGCCCACCUGUGGGCUGGGAGGGGAUGGAAGAGACAGGUGGGCCCCUAGAUGCACUGGCUGGAUUGCAGACAUAUUUAUGCUCCAUUUCUAGUGUCUGGUCCUUCCUGUGGUCCCACUGAUGGGGGAACAGAAAGGAAACAGGAGGGGGCUGGGGUGACAGGCACAGCCCACUAGGCUGCCCUCCUCUGCCUCACCCUCCCUCGCCUGGGCCCCAGCUGAGCCCAUCAUCAGAGGCCUCCAGGAGCUGGGGCCACAGUCUGCGUGGGUCUGCCCCUCCCCUCACCCCAGCCUAGAAGACUCCACCUCUCCCAGGUCCUGGCUGGGAUCCGAAGGCCCCGGGCAAGUGGGGGAAGGGGAGCCACUCCUACUUUCCCAGCAGCUGCUGCUGCCUCUUCCUGUUUUGCUAAAACUUUGGCUCCGGACCCAAGGGGGUGGGGGAAAGUCGCCAGGCGCUCUCGCCCCCCCCCCAAAGGUCAAACUCAUCCCCCUGGUCCUCUUAGCUAGUUAUUUAUAGCUCCCCAGGCCCUGGCUGAGGAGCUACAUCUCUCCUCCCCCAAAUGUCAGCAGCUGUGGCCAUUGCCCCAGGGAUGCAGCCAGAUGUGCUGAUCACUCCAGAUGCGCAGUGCCAGGAUUUGGGAGCGCAGGCCAGGCCCUUUCUCCUGGACAUUCCCUGCUGCCUGGUUCAUCCUCCACUCUGAGUCAACAAACCUGAGUCCUGGGGGAUGGGGGGACAUCAGGAAGUUCCCACCUAUUUUCUCCACUCCCAUUGCCUGAUCCCAAGACGGGACAGCUCGGGCUAUAGACCCACGUGGAUGUCUUUGCAUAAAUUAGGACAGGACUCAUUUGGAGACUGGAUUUGUAGAAGUCAGCUGCAGUUCAGAGGGACAGAAGGGUCAGGAUGCUGGAUGCUGUCUUCUUACUAACGUCAGCACGGAGAUCCACUCCUGAGAGUCCAGCGUCCAAAGGGCAGGCUCUGCGAUUCUUUUCUUUGGCUACAUCCUGCUCUCCAGGAGAUGAUGAAUUCCCCAGGGAGAGGACUGCAGCUUCCUUUGCCUCUGUGCCAGGAAGUUGCUCAACAAAUAAGAGAUUAUACGUAAUGAAAAAGAGUUGAAGUCAGUGGUGGUCACGUGUGGGUGGAUCCUUCAAGGUUGUAGCAAGGGGAGAAGUCCAAACCCAUCCUAAAAGACACUCCUGGCAAAGAGAGUGUCAGGACCUCCUCAAACGCUUGCCUAGAGAUUCCAAGGCCUGAGAAGGUCCUGCUGCGGCCUGUUGCAAGGCUGAACUCCCGAGCCCACCAGUGGGUGGACCACAGCAUCCCUGCAGGGGCCACUGGAGCACAUAAUUGUGAGCUGGCUGCAGAAAGGCAUUUUGCAACUCAGACGAAUUUCUUCUCGCUCACGAUUAGGGUAUGGCCCAGUGGCUGCCUCCCUGACUGUAAUCUCUGCUGGCACAGGCAUCUCCGGGGCUGGGCAGUGGGGGCUGUGGAAGGAGGGCUGACCUAGAAGCCUGGACGCCGGAGUUCUCUGCCCGCUCCUCGCCAGGGAUUAACCAUGGCAUGGCUGGCAGGGAGACUGGGUUCUCAGUUUCCUCAUCUGUAAAAGGAGUGAUGUGAUUAGAUUAGAGCGGCCCAAACCUAACCACACCUUAGGAUUACCUGGGGAGCUUCAGAUUACUAGGUACUCCCUUCACCCCUUGCAUCUGCUGGGGGCUGUGAGAUGGCCCAGGAAUCUGUUUUUCACAGGCUCUUCUAAAUGAUUUUUUUUGGGCCACACCCACAGCCUGUGGAAGUUCUGGGGCCAGGGAUCGAACCUGCGACCCUAGCCACUGCAAUGACAAUGCCGGAUUCUUAACCUGCUGAGCCACAGGGAAACUCCUACAGGAUUUUGACAUAAUGUCAAGUAUGGGGGAUCCUACAGACUAUAAAUAUAAAUAGACUGUAAAUAUAAAUCACUUGCAGCUCUUAGGAGAAAAGAUUCUAGUAAAUGGAAUGGCUGUAACAAGAGGCUUUGGUGCUGUGGGAUUUUAUCAGAGGGCAAAUGGUGGGUAGUUUAUUUCAUCAUCAUCAUCACCACCAAUUACUAUUUUUUCCAGGCCUUUUUUGGCUGCACCUGCAGCAUGCAGAAGCAUGCGGGGCCAGGGAUCAAACCAGCACCCCCGUGGUGACAACACCAGAUCCUUAACCCGCUGCACCACCAGGGAACCCCUCCAGUUUUAUUGAGAUAUAAUUGACCUACAUCACUGUGUAAGGUGUACAGCACAAUUUGAUUUACAUACAUCAGGAAAGGGUUAUCAGACUAAGUUUAGUAAAUAUGUAUCAACUCAUAUAGAUACAAAAUUAAAGAAAUGGAAACACCCUUUUCUUCCUGUGAGCAGAGGACUCGGGAUUGAGGCCCUCGCUUACCUCAAGGCUGGAGCCGGGCUGGGAGAGAAGUGAAGGGAGGAAUGGGCCGUCCCUGUAGGUGGGGCCUCUUGGCACGGGGACCUUUCUCUCUCACUCUCCUGGGUGGAGUUUGGCUGCACGGGCUUUGGCACCAGCCUCUGGAGCUGAGAGAGUGUCUUCCCAUCCGUAUUCCUCCCCCACUUCGGUUUCAGCCCAGAGGACAGCCCCCUUCUCCUCCUCCUGCCCCGACUUCCUCCCCAGGCUCCCUCACCAACCUCAUUCCUAAGCCUCGCUAAUCUGUUUGCCACCCUCUGCUUCCUUGCCUCGCCCUUGCUCAUGCCAUUCUCUCCACCUGGAAUGUCACCCCCGCCCCCCAACACCAAUUCACAUUUCUGGGCUCCUUUGAAACCCAGCUCCAGACUGGCUGACGUCGUUGGGGCUGUGAUCUGCCCAGGUCUCUCCUCUUCGGAGAUAGACUCAUUUAUGCUUGAAAUCACAGAAUCAGAGAACAGCUUUAGACUCAGAAAGAAAUAAGUACAGAUGACCUAAACCAGCUCUCGCAUUCAAUGGACGGAAACCCUGAGGCCCAGAGAGGUCUUGACUUGGCCAAGGUCACACAGUCGUGAGGUUUGCUGGUGGUGGUGGUGGCGGCGAACAGUUGGCUUCACAAGAGGCUUUCAAGUAUCCUACGUCUUUGUUUUAUUUCCUCGACACGUGGUGAUGCCUAUGAGGGCAGAGGUGAUGUUGCUGUUUUAAUUGGUGUUCUUAAGCUCCACGGUGCUGUGUAUGUGCAGGCAACUGUAAUAGUUCUAAAACUCGCAGGGGUGCACAUUUUGCAUAUGAUCUCAGACCAGCCCUGAGCGGUAGGUCACCAAGGCAUUGCUAUCUUACUGAGCAGGAAACUGAGACUUAGAAAGGUGUGACCCAGGAAGUUAAUGGCAGAACCGGGGCCAAAACGCAAGUUCCCUGCCUCCCAGCCUCAGCCCAGGACCCUGACACCCAUGAUGCUGUUCUUCUAGAGCCUUCCUGAGGUUCCCGGCAGGGGACCUAGAGUAGUCAAAGGGGUGGCCUCCGCCGUCUUUCGCCUUCCUUGUGAUUUCUUCACUUUGGGGUUGAGCAGACCUUGCCUCUGGCCUCCUACCCCUCCCCAUCCUGUCCCACCGCGUUCUCCUUGUGUCCCCCCACAGCCUGUUGGCACAUUGACCCAUACGCAUACAUGCUCAGAGCUGCAGGUGUCUAGGGCAACAGACCACAGGGGAAACCACAUCACCUUUGUUGACACUGGAGGGAGGCAGGGGGGCCGGGAAAGAACCUGCUUACGUCUCUCCACCUGCCUCUGUCCCCGCAGUCAUCUCACCUCCCAGCCUGGUGGGUCAUCUGGACUUGACCCAUGGCCCAGCCUCUUCCUGAGGACCCAUCCAAACCUGGCCCGGGAGGAUGUAUCGCCCCUUCUCACAGAUCCUGAAAUCCUGGAGGGAGGUGGGGCGGUCUGCCUAGCUGCACCCCAAAGCCACACCCCCAAUCCUAGCCAGUUUACUGACCUAGCUCCUCUAAUUCCACCUGCGCAGUGCAGCAGACAAAGGUGGAAACCAGGAAUGAGAGGACAUGGCUGGGGGUCGGUAAGGAAGGAAAUUUGACAUCUAGGCCAUCACUCCUACAUCAAAGGGGACCGCUAGGGAGUUCCUGUCGUGGCUCAGCGGUUAAUGAACCCAACUGGCAUCCAUGAGGACGCAGGUUCGGUCCCUGGCCUCGCUCUGUGGGUUAAGGAUCAGGUGUUGCCGUGAGCUGUGGUUUAGGCCGGUGGCUACAGCUCCAAUUAGACCCCUAGUCUGGGAACCUCCACACGCCGCAGGUGCGGCCCUAAAAAGACAAAAAGACACCAAAAAAAGGUGGAGGGGGGACCUCUAGUAACCAGGCUACACGGGAUCUGUGGUGUUUGGACCUGCUGAAAGAAGCUGCACAGGCUCUGAAUCAGGCCCAUUUGGGAUUAAGUCACUUGCUGGCUCUGUGGCCUUGGGCAAAUCAUUUUGUGUUUCUGAACUUUAGUUUGCUAACUAAAACAAUGGGGAUAAUAAUGAGAUAUAAGUGAAAGGUCCUGGAACAGCACAGGAUACCAAGGAGACGCUCAAUAAAUCCUAAUUACCCUCCCUCCCUCCUUUCCUUCCACUUGUUGCAUCUGGCUCCAUGAAACCCUUUAUUUGGAAUUGGAGCUCUACCUCCCCUAUUUACGUGCAAGUCCAAACCCUGAGCAUUGGCAUCUGAUCCCAGGUUCAGAAACAGGAAUGCACAUCCCCACAGCCCAAGGAAGUGGCUGUCCCUCGGAGAGUGCACCCAGGCCAAGGACGAACACCUUCUGAUCGGCCUUGUGGAGAGGGUGUGAGAAGUCCAGGUUAGGAAAGGGCUUGUGGCUUCAGACACCACAUUGAGAAAGCGGGUCAGGAAUGGUCUCAGAGGCCUGCGGUUUAGACCGAUGCCUUCGGAUGGAGCUUUGAACCCUGGCACAAGGUGGGCACCCAAUAACACUUGUUGAAUGAACGCAUGGCCUCAGCACUUACUAGUUGUGUAACGUUGGUCAUGUUUCUCAACUUUUAUGAGUCGCACUUUAAUCACAAACAUAACAAGGAUUACUGCUAAGAAUAAAUGAUCUCAUGUUUGCCAGGGGGCUGGCAUAGGGCUGCUGCAUGGCACACAGUCAGUAAAUGGUAGCUAAGUAAGGGAAUGUGAGAUAAACGAGAAAGAGAAGGUCAAAGAGGCUCAGAACCCCAAAGCAAGCGGAAGGUGGCUGCCUUCAGGCUUCGUACUGGCCAGAGACUCCAGGAAAACUCUGGGGAGCCAAAGCAGGUCCUGUGGGGCUAAUCUCUUCUGCUAGGUGCUUAGCUGAGCAGUCUGUGAGAGGCCUGGACUCAAGAGC